AAAUCUUCGAAAUAACCGUGUGAAUCAAUAAAGGUUAUUCAAGAUCAAACCAAAAACACUGUCUCGAAGUCAGCUCAUCUGCGUCGGGUGACGUUGGUCAAAGUCGUUCAAAGUCAAGUGCAAAAACUUUCUCAAAGUCACCAUAACAUAUUAUAAGAUUAUUGGUAAAUGAAACGGAAAAAUGAAAAAAAACUGAUUCUUUGAGGAUACACGAAAAAAACUGAUUUUUUAGGAUACACGAAAAAAAUGUCAAAUUUGACAGGUUUAGAGUAGCAUGAUGACAAAAAGAAACAGGAUGUUUUCAUGUCAUUCCUCAAACAGAAAUUCACUGCCAAAACGCUCAUCAAUAGUCUGUUGUUAGUCUAAUCUGAAAGAAUACCAGAACAAAACUACCUUGAAAGGUCAAUGGAAGGAAACGGAAUACAAUUAUUUCAUCUGAAGCCAAUACUUUGGAACCGGAGAAUCUGUUUCGCACCGCUACAUUUCGCAGCAAUCAUCCUCAAAAAUCGAAAUUUAUGUGAGCCAAGGAUUAACAAAGCCUUACCUUCUGACGUGCGAGUUCUAGCACAGUGUCAGAGACGAAUUGAAUGCCCAAGUAGGUCGUUGAAGCAGUAUAUGCGGCGGACAGUGUUGUGACGAAAAAACAGAAGUGUUAUUGAGAAAGCAAGGCCAGCGGGACUUCGCAGAUCUACUGCGGCAUAAUUCAAGGUCACUCCAGGGAUUGCUCAUUUCGACGGCAACGACUUUACAAAUUGUCAAGAAGAGUACUUCGACCACGCCACUGAAGUUUACUGCCGCAGUUGCUGUUGAAACGUUUGGAGAUACUAAUUAAAGAAGGUCACGGCAAAACUUGUUAACCAACCAAAACAGUAGUAGAAAGUUUAUAUAUUCCCUCUCAAAAUUUCUCAUUUCAUUUUAACAAUGAAUUAUCUCCCUUCAAUUCUUCAAUCUGUUUUACCAACCAAACACAAGAAGAGAAAGCUUUCCAUACCCAGGUGAUACGAUUUAUAGCAUAUGUGGUAAAUAAUGGCCCACACAGUCUGUUCCCUCUUAGCUCAGUUGGAAAUUUGUGAAAUUGGAAAUUAUACUCACAGAUUGAGAUUUGGUUGUUGAUACUUUUCCUUGGCUUGUCGAUCCAACUGUGUUCACUCGGUAAACUUGGUUGGGAAGGAAAGUUGUGAUAAGGAAAUAUGAGCAAUUCCACAAGGACCAGCUAGCCGAACCUAACACCGUUGUCGAACUUUUGUAAUAACUCA